rnacentral:rRNA from 1 species
UACGGGGGGGGCAAGCGUUGUUCGGAAUUACUGGGCGUAAAGGGCUCGUAGGCGGCCAACUAAGUCAUACGUGAAAUCCCUCAGCUUAACUGGGGAACUGCGUGUGAUACUGGAUGGCUUGGAUUUGGGAGAGGGAUGCGGAAUUCCAGGUGUAGCGGUGAAAUGCGUAGAUAUCUGGAGGAACACCGGUGGCGAAGGCGGCAUCCUGGACCAAUAUUGACACUGAGGAGCGAAAGCCAGGGGAGCAAACGGG